rnacentral:misc_RNA from 1 species
UUUCCGUAGGUGAACCUGCGGAAGGAUCAUUAAUAAAAUUCAUAUUAGUCCCAUAUCUUAUAUGGUCUAAUAAAGUUUCCAUCAUAAACCCAUUUAAACUUUUUUGUCUGAAGAAAAAAAUUUAUUUUUUUUCGUUUGUUUUAAACUUAAUUUUUAUUUAUGAAAUGAAAAAUAAUAUUAAAACAAAUAAAAAAAGAGAAAAAACUAAAUACAACUUUCAACAACGGAUCUCUUGGCUCUC